rnacentral:lncRNA from 1 species
CCCAUAAAAUUCCUUGAUCCUCAUAAUCUCUUUAUUCAUAUCCAACAACUUCAUUUCAUGCUCAGUCCUAUACUCUUUUUCCUUAUCCUCGUAAUGGUACAUCUUGGGAUUAGUAAAUGAAUUGUAAAUAUCAGGAGAUACCAUGACAUGAUGAGGAUUUAGAAGGGUAUCUUGAUUUUAAGGAUGAGAGGAGGUUGGUUGGUAGGUAGGGAGGACAUUUUGGAAAUUGGGAAAGUUUUGUGGAAUUUGGUAGUAGUUUGGUAGUAUCUGAGAAGGAUUUUGAGGAUUCAAAAAUAAAUUUUGUGGGUUCGGAGAUAGAUUUGGUGGAUUUGGUAGAUUUGGGGUGGAUUCUAUGGAUUUUGGAGUGAAUUUUGUGGAUUCGGAGAUGGAUUUUGUGGAGUUAGGGAUGGAUUUUAUGGAGGGUAAGCAUCUAGGUUAUUUUUGUGAUUAGUGUUUUGGACAAGUGGAGGAGCAGAGAUGGAUGAUAUGUUA